UACGGAGGGGGCUAGCGUUGUUCGGAAUUACUGGGCGUAAAGCGCACGUAGGCGGAUCAGUAAGUUAGAGGUGAAGGCCCAGGGCUCAACCCUGGAACUGCCUUUGAUACUGCUAGUCUAGAGAUCGAGAGAGGUGAGUGGAAUUCCGAGUGUAGAGGUGAAAUUCGUAGAUAUUCGGAGGAACACCAGUGGCGAAGGCGGCUCACUGGCUCGAUACUGACGCUGAGGUGCGAAAGCGUGGGGAGCAAACAGG
rnacentral:rRNA from 1 species